UCACCAUUCAGUUAACAUCUAUAAGUCCUUAUUAUUCGUUUAUCAUCGUUUCAUAGUUUGCUUCUCAUUGUGUUUAAUACGUGUUGCCAGUGGAAUAUUUUCAUCUCAUUUCAUUUCAUAAACCAAUAGGAAAUAAAUAAUUAAGGUAAACACCUAAGAUGUCAGAAAAUUGCCAUGUCUGUGGACGAGCUUUGACAAAAAGAGGCAGAAAAAAAUGCCAGAAAGAGCUGUUGCUGCUUUAUAUGACUGAAAUGCAGAAAAACACAUAUCAUCCUGAUUCUUGUUCAGUUUGCCGAAGCUGUGCUGUUGCUUAUGAGGCAUGGAAAAGAAAUAGAUCUUCAGAAUCAAACCAAUACCGCGAACGAGACCAAGAAAUAGCAUCAAGUUCAGCUUCUGAAUCUUCUGGCACUACACCUUCAGUCUCUUCUGCGAGUUUAUCAGAAUCUUUACCAUCUAGUGCAGGAUCAUCUUCAGCUGGGCCAUCACGAAAACGUCGUUAUAGAUCCGACCUGCAUGUCAAUAUGUCAACUGGUUGAAAAGUUAUCAGGUACCGACCAAAAAGAGGCCACUGUUAGAAACAGACGAAAUAAAUGUCAUAUCGUGAAAAGCCGUUGUACAUUUUUUGUUUAUGCUAAAAGAAUAAUUUUGAUCCAAUCGAAAUCAAUUUUGAACAUGAUCUGGUCAUCUGACAUUCAUUCGAAGUUAAACUACUUAAUAGCGAUAAAACGUGAUAAAGGCAUUGUAGAAGUUUUUCCUUCUGUAGAUCGCUAGAGUACAUUGAUGUGUAUAUGUAUAUUAAGUUUCAGCACUCUAGCUUGAUUAGUUUACGAAAAAUCGCCCAAAAUUGUUUCAACUUUGAAGCGCGAUUGUGGCCGAACGCGUCAUCCUAAAAGACUUUUAACAAAAGUUAACAGUGUUUUUUCAACCCCCCUAUCAUAAUAUCAAAUUAAUUUCAAAAUCAAAUAAGGUCGAUUUUUGGUGGCAGAUACCCCUUUUCAAAAACAGAUUUUCAUUUAGUUUUGUGUUGGACAAGGUUAAUGAAGCUUUGGCUUUAGCGAAGUUGGCGAUUGUUUCAAUGAUUAUCAGCUGGUAAUGCACUUACUUCAUAAAAACAAUUUACGGUGAUUCCAAUGUAAGUAUUUGAUUCGUAUUUUAUAAAAAUAGUCAAUUAGUAAUUUCCUUAAGAGAGAGAGAGAGUAAAAAACGUUUCCUUAAGAGCAUAGUAGAGUGUAGUUGAACGAUUCAA